rnacentral:misc_RNA from 1 species
AAGUCGUAACAAGGUUUCCGUAGGUGAACCUGCGGAAGGAUCAUUAAAAGAGUCGCCCUGCACCCCUCCCGGGGACGAGGGCCACGGGUGAGGCCCGGGAUUAAACCCCCGGGUCCCCGUCUCUUCCACCCUGUGUCUACCUUCUACGUUGCUUUGGCGGGCCUGGGUUCGUCCCCCGGGGACCCCCUGCCCGGCGUGGGCACCCCGUCCCGACCGGGAGCAGCGCCCCGCCAGAGACCCCCACCAUUCCUGAUUUUUUUCCAGCGGUCUGAGCGAAACACGAAUAAAAUAAAA